rnacentral:lncRNA from 1 species
CAGAUGGGGUCUCAAGAUGUUGCCCAUACUGGUUCAAACUCCUGCCUUAAGUGAUCCUCCAGCCUCAACCUCCCACGUAGUUGGGAUUACAGGCAUGAGCCACAGUGCCCAGCUGCCAAUAUGCUUUGAAUUUUCAGUAAGGACUGUCGUUGAGGAAGAUCAAUUGCUCAGGGGGACUACAGCUCUGUGUCCUAUACCAGCACUGAAGCCUCAAUUCUAGUCUAAUCUGCAGCCUCGGAUGAGGGGAAGACCACUUUGUGGAGGCAAGCUGUCUUCUCUAUAUGAAGGCAUCUGAGAUGAUUACUGGUGGCACUCUAGAUUGGACGUUUGAACAUUUCCCAAACACAAAGCAAAAAAUCAAAAAGAAAGAAGCCAGUAUCUACUGGACAAGGCAGUGUGCAAGGCAGUUUCCCAGAGAGAUGGAAACACAAAGCUGUCCUCGGAGAAGUAACUCACUGAGAAGAAGGCUGUUCAUGGGGCAUGUUUGACACUGGUCCUCCGCCGGCCCCAUGCAGUGGAAGCACUUAACAUGGCAGGGCUUGCACCCGGGAGCAUCCUCAUCCCAGUACUCGGAGGGAAAUUGAGGCUGGAGAUGCUAAGUCACUUACGCUAAGUAGUAUCAGGAGUUGAGCCCAGGACCUUAGCAACUGCCUUGCUGCUUCUGCUCCAGUGCUUCAGGAAAGGUAUGGGACUUUUAGAGGUGUCUGUACUAUCUAUUACAGGAUAAUCUGGGUGAUUGGAAUGGAUCCAAAGUCCUUGUGUUUCUUAGAGAAGAUCCUGCUUACAGAUUUUUUUUUCUUUUUUUUGCUAUAGGUUCUUGCUCUGUCACCCAGGCUAGAGUGCAGUGGUGUGAUCAUGGCUCACUGAAACAUUGACCUCCCAGGCUAAAGUGAUCCCCCCAUCUCAGCCUCUUGAGUAGCUGGGACUACAGGCACACACCACUACAUCUGGCUAAUUUUUGUAUAAUUAUUUUUGUUUUAGAAAUAGGGUCUUGCUAUGUUGCCCAGGCUGGUCUCAAAUUCCUGGACUCAAGAGAUCCUCCUGCCUUGGCCUCCCAAAGUGUUGUUGAGAUUACAGAUGUGAGCCACCGUGUCCGGCUGAGAUUGCUCCAUUCUAAACGCUUCUCUACACUUCCCCAAAUCUUAAUUUUCAGAUCAGGUUCUUUGUAUUAUCUCUCUGGAAAGUCAGGUUGUCACUGUUUCUUCCAAUACCACAUUCCUUCCCCUCCCUUUGGUCUGGUAGAAAGUGCAAUGGCGGCCGGGCAUGGUGGCUCACGCCUGUAAUCCCAGCACUUUGGGAGGCAGAGACGGGCAGAUCACCUAAGGUCAGGAGUUCGAGACCACCCUGACCAAUAUGGAGAAACUCUGUCUCUACUAAAAAUACAAAAUUAGCUGGGUGUGGUGGCACAUGCCUGUAAUCCCAGUCACUCGGGAAGCUGAAGCAGGAGAAUCUCUUGAACCAGGGAGGCGGAGGUUGUGGUGAGUCCAGAUCGCGCCAUUGCACUCCAGCCUGGCAGCAACGAGAGCAAAACUCCGUCUCAAAAAAAAGAAAGUGCAAUGUCAUUGUAGGGAGACACCUCAAGUGAGUUUCCAACUCUGUCCUCACUAGUGGGGUCACAUUGAGCAAGUGCUUAACUUCUCAAAGCAUCUGUUUCCUUCUCAGAAAAAUGCAGAAAAUUGCCAUUUACCUCAAUGGCUCUCAACCCACACUAAGCAUCAGAAUUACUGGUGGUGGGAGAAGGAAUUAGAAUGUUGGGUGCAGGCAUCUGUGGUUUUAAGAGCUGCCCAGGUGAUUCUAAUGGGCAACCAGGGGCCUUUCUCAAGGAGAUAAUUAAAUCAGAUAAAUUAAGAAAACAUACUCUGAGACCUGUAAAGCUCUCUGUAUGGUAAAUUACUUUCAUUAUUCAACACCAGAGAAAGGCCAGAAGUUGAACCUCAGUUCCUGCCCUCGCAGAGGCAAGAUGGCGCUGGAGGCCUGCUGCUGAGUCUCUCACCUCCCAGAAGCCAUUCCCAGCUCCACAGCCUGCCUCCCACACGAACACCCGCCUCUUCUGCAUGCGGACACAGCCUUGACAUCCACGCCUUUUCACAUAUGGGCAGGUUCCUGCUGGACACUCCUCCAAGCACAGUCCAUCAUAGAGGACCCAGGAACUCUCAAGACAGAGCUCGCAGUCGUCGGCUUUGGGGCCACUGCACUCCAGACAGUCUUUAUGGCAGGGGACACAGUGGCGCGAGUCUGCAUAGAAGCCACGGGGACAGGACUGGUGGCACAUAUCAUCGUGCAGGAAGAACUCAGGCGUGCACUCUGGGAAAAGGAGGAAGCAGCAAGUUAUCCCCGGGGGGUAGGAGAAAGGAAUUCAUUGUCUGCAGUAGGCUAGCUCCUCCCUCAGCACUUUGGUUGAUUUGACCUGAGAGUAUGCUUGCCCUUUACCCACCCUGCCAGGGCAUAGACUUGAUGUCUAACAAGCCCUGCCUUGGGACAAGGAGGCCACACAUGGUGACCGUAUUAGAUGGUGCUGGACUUACACAAUGAAAUGGUCUGCCCUUUGGAGGUGCAGUGCAAAAAUUUGCAAUGCUGCAAAAGACAGGGAUGGCUGAGAGGCUGGCGGUAUUGUUUGAAAAACCCGAAGAGCAUUAACAGAUUUAAAAAAUUGUAUUGAGAACCUCACACUGUUUUCAACACAGAAAGCAGUUUAGGAAUGGUUGGAUUAGUUAACUUUUCAUUCAUUGAUCAGGUACAACAAUGAAUACAGGAUUGAUCAGUGUGAAGAAUACAUUGCGGGUUUAUUUUUUUUGUGUUCAUUUUCUUACUUUGGGGGGAAUCCUGGGAAACACUUGAGGUCACACCAAGAGAAUACUUUGGAUAGGACAGCACCAGUUAAAUGAGUCUGUCUUAUUCUGGAGAGAAAAUUGAACAGCUUUUUGGGGGAGAUAAUUCCUGAGGGAAAAAAACAACAAAAUUCAUUCACAGCCAGAGUGGUCAUCUCAGUCAUAGUUGCCCGAACUUUUCUUUCCUAUCCUUUUUAACAACUGCAGUUUUCUAGCUACCUCUGUGUUUUGUGGCUUACUAUCAGUCUGUAAGAUUUUGUGUUCCAAAAGAUGGGAACAGCUGGGCGUGGUGCCUCACGCUUGUAAUCCCAGCACUUUGGGAGGCUGAGGACGGUGGAUCACCUGAGGUCAGGAGUUUGAGACCAGCCUGACCAACAUGGAGAAACCUCGUCUCUACUAAAAAUGUUAAAAUUAGCCCGGCGUGGUGGAGCGUGCCUGUAAUCCCAGCUACUCUGGAGGCUGAGGCAGGAGAAUCGCUUAAACAUGGGAGGCAGAAGUUGCAGUGAGCUGAGAUUGAGCCAUUGCACUCCAGCCUGGGCAACAAGAGUGAAACUCCAUCUCAAGGAAAAAAAAAAGAUGAGAACAUUGGGUUCUUCUCUGUACCUCUAGCACCUAGGAUAGCACUUGCACAUCUGCUGUGUGUGUACAUAUGGGGGUGAGUGUAAGAGAUCAUGCAAAAAGGGGCUCUUGCUUGUCUUAACUUGCAGCAUCCAUAAUGAAAAGGGUGUAUCUCACCCUCAGUUUCUCUGAUGACAGGCACAGAGACAUACCUUUCAGGAAUGGUAGGGAGACUGGUUCCCACAGCUCUUUGCCAUCCACCCUCAGAUAAUCGGCCCCCAACUGGUGGCUCAGCAGAGCCUUGCUCUCCUGUGGGAAGCUCCUAGGUACCUUUGCAUGUUUUCUCAUGGAUGCAGUCCUGACACAUCUCUGGGCAAUGCUUGCAUACCCCCUUCACAGCCACGUGCCUCUCGGGGCAGUUUUCCUGGCACACUCCGUGGUGCAGGACGUGGCCUCCUUCACAAGAAUGGCAGUUGGUGGCGUUUCCUUCACAUGUUCUGCAAGGAGAGCUACAGCGUUCACAUAUGCCGUCUUCUGCAUAAGAGCCCCUGUGGAAGGAAGACAGAGUGCAACUGGAGAAGCUGACCUGCUGGAGAAGUGACUCAUUCCUGGGGAAAAGGAAUUAGGUCUAAAAACAAAAGGGCUGCUGCUGUCGUCAGCUGAGAGGCAUCCAUGGGAUUUAUAAGGAAGUGAAAAGAACAUUCAGAAAAAUGGAAGGAAAAGGACAAGCAUUAUUCUUGUGAAAGGAAAAUAAAUCUUGGGACCCCAGUAUUACUAAGCCAAAGGGAAAAAUCAAGCUGGGAACUGCUUAGGGUAAACCUGCCUCCCACGCUAUUCCUUAAAAAGAUAGCUAACUGGCCGGGUGUGGUGGCUCACGCUUGUAAUCCCAGCACUUUGGGAGGCCGAGGUGGGCAGGUCAUCAGGUCAGGAGAUCGAGACCAUUCUGGCCAACAUGGUGAAACACUGUCUCUACUAAAAAAUACAAAAAUUAGCUGGGUGUGGUGGUGCACGCCUAUAGUCUCAGCUACUCGGGAGGCUGAGACAGGAGAAUCACUUGAACUCGGGAGGCAGAGGCUGCAGUGAGCCGAGAUCAUGCCACUGCACUCCAACCUGGUGACAGAGUGAGACUCUGUCUUAAAAAAAAAAAAACAAAACCAAAAACCAGAUAGUUACUAAGAUUUUAAAAAG